rnacentral:rRNA from 1 species
GUGCCAGCCGCCGCGGUAAAACGUAGGACGCAAGCGUUAUCCGGAAUUACUGGGCGUAAAGCGCGUGUAGGUGGUUGCAUAAGUCACUGUUGAAAGCUCCCGGCUAAACUGGGAGAGGUGCGGUGAGACUGUGUGACUAGAGUAUGGGAGAGGGAUGCAGAAUUCCGGGUGUAGUGGUGAAAUGCGUAGAGAUCCGGAGGAAUACCAGAGGCGAAGGCGGCAUCCUGGCCUAAAACUGACACUGAGACGCGAAAGCAUGGGGAGCGAACGGGAUUAGAUACCCCUGUAGUCC